rnacentral:lncRNA from 1 species
CCCAGGACAACAGCUGCUUUAUUUUUAGGUAUCUUUUGAAGAAAGCUCAGUUUAUAACAUAUGCCACUGAUUUGGUAACAUCAGAGAUGUGGGGUGGGGGAAAGGCAAUCAAAAUGAUGCUUUGAAGUGAGAAUGAGCUGAUUUUAUAUCUGUGUGUCUGUAGUCCUGAGAUCUGAUAAGUAGGAGAACAAUUAAGAGAUUCAGAACUGGGGGAGGCUGUAUCUAAAUUUAGGAAAUUGAAAUACAGGGAUUGCCAUGAAAUUGACCUCUUCUCUGAUUUAACCUGAUGCUCCCAAAACAUUAAUCUUGCUUGUAUCACACCUAUCUCCAUUAGGUAUGUUCUGAGGACUAUAGGAUUUUCCCAUAUGAUUUGGAACUGAGAGCUUCUGUAUAUUUGAUCUCCUCCAUUAGAAUAUGAACUCUUUAAUAACAAGGAUUUCCUUAUUUUUUAAUUUGCAUUCUCAGCUUUGCACAUAGUAAAUGCUUAAUAGUAAAUAGUAAAUGCUUUUUUCCCUGACUUUUUCUCUUUCUUUCUCUCUUUCUUUCUUUCUUUCUUCUUUCUUUCUUUCUUUCUUUCUUUCUUUCUUUCUUUCUUUCUUUCUUUCUUUCUUUCUUUCUUUCUUUCUUUCUUUCUUUCUUUCUUUCUUUCUUUCUUUCUUUCUUUCUUUCUUUCUUUCUUUCUUUCUCUCUCCCUCCCUCCCAGCUUCCUUCCCUCCCUCCCUCUCUCCCUCACUUCCUCCCUCCCUCACGUCCUUCCUUCCUUCCUUCCUUCCUUCCUUCCUUCCUUCCUUCCUUCCUUCCUUCCUUCCUUCCUUCCUUCCUUCCUUCCUUCCUUCCUUCCUUCCUUCCUUCCUUCCUUCUGUAAUAUAACUGCAAUUCAAGGGCAGGGAGAGAAUGGAGUCUUCCCUCUCUGCUGGGUCAGGACCAGAGUGAGGUAAAGAUGGAGUUGAGUCAAGUAGAGAGAGAGGAUGGAUUGUCUUCCCUCUCAGCUCUCUCUGACAAACCCCAGUCUGGUUGCCUAUCAAGAUCUUAACUUCUGUUCACUCAGAGACCUUGACUAAACAAGCUUGAUACACUUAGUUUCCCUCUCCCUGGGGAGAGAGAUAUCACUUCCUUCCUCCCAACUUCAAAUCUCUCUCUAGAUGUGAUGGAGUCAGUCACUUGUUCUUAUUAAACAGUUUCAUUCUAGGGGAACAAGAUAAGGGAUAGGGCAGAUGGGUCAGGAAUGGGGCAGAAGGGAAGAGGGAGCAGGGGCUCCCUAGGAUAACUGAAAGUACUUCUCCCAAGAGUCUGACAGAUCAGGCUUUGUUGACUUCCCUGGGGUCAGUUAGAAGAAGUCCUGGCUCUAACUGCCUUGGCAGCUGUAGCCAGUCCAGGACUUUAGGGGAUCUGGAGGAAAUCUUUCUUCUGGUGAGCACUUUCCAGUCCUGGUCACUUGGUUGUCUUCUUGGGGCACUGGGGCAAGCUUUCACAGGAGGAGAUGCGUGCUCCUCAGAGAGGAGAAGAAUCUUCCCAACUGUCCAGUUCAGUUCACU